rnacentral:rRNA from 1 species
GAUGAACGCUAGCGAUAGGCCUAACACAUGCAAGUCGAGGGGCAUCACAUGAAGUAGCAAUACGGAUGGUGGCGACCGGCGCACGGGUGAGUAACACGUAUGCAACCUGCCUUCAACAAGGGGAUAACCCGUUGAAAGACGGACUAAUACCCUAUAACACAGGGGUCCCGCAUGGGAAUAUUUGUUAAAGGACAACCGGUUGAAGAUGGGCAUGCGUUCCAUUAGCUAGUUGGCGGGGUAACGGCCCACCAAGGCAACGAUGGAUAGGGGAACUGAGAGGUUUAUCCCCCACACUGGUACUGAGACACGGACCAGACUCCUACGGGAGGCAGCAGUGAGGAAUAUUGGUCAAUGGACGCAAGUCUGAACCAGCCACGUCGCGUGAAGGAAGACGGCCCUACGGGUUGUAAACUUCUUUUGCAAGGGAAUAAAGUGAGUCACGUGUGACUUUUUGCAAGUACCUUGCGAAUAAGGAUCGGCUAACUCCGUG